CCCUCACUCAUUUCAGCCGCACGAACCCUAGCCGCCGCCGACCCGCAUCCGUCCUCCAUCCAUGGUACGAGCUCUUCCUCCUCUGUCUAUGUCUGCCCCGAGCUCUUCCUCUUCCGUCCUCACAUGCUCCACUCCGAGCCCCACCUCUUCCACCCCACACGGACUUCGCCUCAUCCGUUUGCGCACCAAUUCAAAGGGCAGGUCCAGAGAGCCGUGGCAAGUCCUCGGGAGAGGAUAGGAAGGCAAAGGCGGAGCAGAGGAAAUCAAGAAGGUGAGGGGGUGAUGGAGGGUCCAUGGGACGACGAUGCGUGGCGGCGGCGGCUCAAGGAGGAGUACCGCGCCCUCAUCGCCUACACCUCGGUGAACAAGGCCAAGGACAACCAUUGGUUCCACAUCUCUGCCGCCAACCCAUAGGGCACCCGCUGGUACAUCCACAACCUCUGCCGCUAUGAGUUCCCCCCUCCAGUUCGACAUCCCCGUCGCUCUGUGCAUGAGAUUGAGCUCCGCACGCUCGAUGUCAAGUCCCACAAGAUGUACCACGAAGGGAAGAUCUGCCUCACCGUGCACUUCAGGCGCGCGCACACUAGCGAUGGUACAAGAUCGGCUUCCUGGUGGAAUCAGGUGCACGUCGUCCAUGGUGGCAUGUCAUGGGUGUUGGCGGGCGGCUGGAGGCGGCUACAACAGAACUUUCUGAAUCCGACGCUGUCAAUCAGGCCGCAGAGAGGAGGUGAGGUGGAGAUGAGAUGGGGACAGGCGAUCCUGCAGCGAUGUUGUUUCUUUGUUCUCCUGGUCAAGGUUUGCUCUUUCCUACUUACUUUCGUGGUGGUUCAGUUUUUCAUCUCUACAUUGGGAUUACACAAAACUAUUGAUGUUUUAGUUACGUAAUUUGUGGGACAUUGGGACUGUCUUUAAGGAAAAGCAAGUAACUAAUCAAGAAAGAAGCUUGCUCGUUCCAUGUUGGUUAGCCGUGAUAAAUCUGAUUCCUAGAGUAGCAGAUGAUUCGUGUCAGGUUUCUUUUAGAGAUCGAAUAUAUGUAGGUUUCUACUUGGUAAAUGUGCGUGAGAACAAUGGCCCAGAGGAUGUGAAUUGCACUCGAAUAUAUGUAGGUUUUGUGCCAAACUAGCCACUACUGUAUUUCAGGUGCCUCUUCUGUAACUUAAUAUAUUUUGCGGGCUCUUCUCAUUUCCCGGUGAAAUUUUUAGUCUGUACAAUUGAAUCGUUGGAAGUUGUUUUCUUCUAUCCAUAGAGGUUUUAUUAUACAAACUAUUAGUUGCCUGGCAUGCUUUUUGAAAUGAAGUGUUCCUAGGAUUGCCUUUUUACAUAUGGUUAUGCUCCAUAUGGCUACCUAUGUACAUAUGCGAAGGUUCUGUUUGGGCUACUCAAAUCGCGUGGAGCUGUUAAAUUUCCAAUUUGUUGCCUUGCCAUUGUGUGCCAUCGCAAUGUUUACUCCAGAAAAAUGGAAUGAGCAGGCUUAUUUCUUGAUUAGUUACUUGCUUUGCCGUAAAGACAUUCCCCACCUAUGUCCCAUGUUUUCUUUUUGUAUGAAUCUCGUAUUCCCUGGAAUAUGAGAAUACCGUCCUGAUAGACCAGUGGACCAACACAUUUCCAUUGGAUUUUAGAAAAAAUAUAUGUGAAUUUUCAUAUAUAUUCUAAAUCUCUGUCUUUUCUUAUCCAUGCUCCUCCAUAGAUAAAUAGCAGGCUCAACAAAAAUGAAUGUUCACUUGUGCUCAAAUUUCAAGGAAGUGUGCUGCAUGCUUCUCUUUCUGCAAUAUGUUUCAGAGUAUAUGGUUUAAUUUUCCUACUUUCCCUGUUACAGUUCUGUAUAUGUCAUUCUUAGCUUUGCUUUUGGAAACAAUAUAUGAGCUUUAAUUACCAUAACUGUCUAGAAAUGCUAAGUUGAAAUUGAACAAGCAACAAUCCAGUUAUUGUGCUUUCUUUCCCUCAUAAACUUGCUGACAAUAUGGGUGGAGACCCAUUACAGAUUUCUUAUGGAAUAAAAAGCUAAAUAUGAUGGUUCGAAAAUUGUUGGUCAAGAACCAUGAAUAAGAGAAAGGCGUCACACUCAAGUUCGAAGAAGAAAAAGGGCAACAAAAUGGCGCAUAUUCCAGAAGGAUUUAUUUUGCACAUAAAAGUGAUGGCUUGGGCCUUCGGCACCAUGGCGGCAUCAGUUUGCACAUUGUCGCUCCGCUUGUAUUGCUGGUUGCAAAGAAAGGUGCGAACAGUCCAUCGUCGUACGUUAGGAAGUGAAACUUAAGCACUAUACAGUGAAAAUCCCUAGCAUUGUGCAAGCUGCUGCUGUUGCAUUUAAAUCGGUUUGUCCAAAUUGACAGUCCGAGGCUCCAGCCGAUGCAGUCGCGACCCCACCUCUAGAUCAGCUCACCACCCAACCAGUUACACUCAGUUAUGUGACAGUUUUGAUUCAUUCUACAGAAUUAUUCGAACUCUGGAAUGACCAAAUCCCAAUUCUGCUUCAAAGGUAAUGAUUCUGUUUUAUCAACCACCCUAAAUUUGUCCAGAAGUGAUGAUUACGACAUGGUUAUCUAUUUAACACAUUCUUAUUCUAUGUAUAUUUUGAUUAUAUUUUCUUUUCCUUAGUUGUGUUGCUGUUCAGUUGACUGUUAAGUUUAUGGUUAUUUCCCCCACAAAAAAAGGUUAUGGUUAGUUAUUCCAAAAGAGAAAAGCAUGUUUCUUUGUAGGAGAUUAUCUGCUAUAUAGACUUGAAUAUUUUGUAAUGUUUCUUUUACAAACAUAUGAUGUUAUAGAAUGUAGACACGAGCCUAGACAUCUAGCCAAACCUACCUAUAGCAUUUCUAGAACUUUAUAAUUAUAAUGGUUACAUGUAAAUUACGUGUGUAGAUUUAUCCCUUUUUUCAUACGCCUUACUUCGUAGAUUCUGAAAAUAUGGUGUGAUGUAUAAAAGUUUAUGGUCAACGCUAGUUUAGUGUUUGGGUCAAAUUAUUAUUUUAAAGUAGGGGUUAAAGUUUGCCAAGAAAAAAGUAGAUUAUUAUUAAUUGGGAUUGAUAGAUUACGACUAUAUCCCACUCGGUCUUGUUGUCUCAACAUAGCCGGUCCCAAGCCCGGGUAAACGAGGAGGGUUGUGAUAGGCUUGGCGAGCCAACGUAAAAACUCAGCCACUCUUAUGGAGAUGAAACCCAAAAGAUUUUCGUUGGGG